rnacentral:rRNA from 1 species
AUUGAACGCUGGCGGCAGGCCUAACACAUGCAAGUCGAGCGAGCGGCGGACGGGUGAGUAAUGUCUGGGAAACUGCCUGCUGGAGGGGGAUAACUACUGGAAACGGUAGCUAAUACCGCAUACCCUCAGAUAUGCCCAGAUGGGAUUAGCGAGUAGGUGGGGUAACGGCUCACCUAGGCGACGCACCCUAGCUGGUCUGAGCGGAUGAGCAGCCACACUGGAACUGUGACACGGUCCAGACUCCUACGGGAGGCAGCAGUGGGGAAUAUUGCACAAUGGGCGCAAGCCGGAUGCAGCCAUGCCGCGUGUAUGAAGAAGGCCUUCGGUUUGUAAAGCACUUUCAGCGGGUAGGCGUUACCCGCAGAAGAAGCACCGGCUAACUCGGUGCCAGCAGCCGCGGUAAUAC